UGGAGUUUAUAAAAUAUUAGGAUCUAUUAUAUUCUUUUUUCUUUAACUGUCAAUUUUUUGACGUAUCUCAUAUAUUAUAGUAUUACAAUGAAGUGCUCUAAUUUAUCUGUUAAAAAAGGUUUCAUCACUGUUUCCUGUAGUAAUUCUCAAUAAUGUUUUAAAUAGGAUAGAUUAAAUAGGAUAUAUUAUCUAAAGUAAACAGGCUUUUAAGCCUUCAAUUUGCCCCAAUUGACAUGAAGUGCGCAUUUCGAAAAGCCAGUGAACGCAGCGUCAUACGGGCACCCCCACCCCACUCCCCCGGAAACCCCCGGAUGAACCCGCAGGAAGGCGCGCGGCUGAAGAACUUCUUGGACAGCUGGAAGGAUAAACGUUGAAUGACGAGGCGUUUUUCCAUCUUAAAUUUAAAAGGCCGCAGGAUCACGGUGAAGGCUUCUUCUGUAUAGAGGACGGGGGCGGAAACGUCACGUGGUCUCCGCAGAGACUGGUCAGUUAUGUUGAGACAACAUGCACAAAUAGUUCCUGGACUGAUCUUCUGCUAACUUUGAGGUGGAGAAGCUGUCAGGUUCAUCUGUUUCAGGGUCCUGCAUGCUCUCCCUCCAUGUUGGCUGUAGCAGUGGAUGGAACUUGCUAAAUGUACUGUUUUGAGAGCCAACUGGGCUCAGUGGUUAUUUGGAAGAUGCGUUUUUGACCAAAAACACUGUGGUGACCUCCUUUGUGAACUGCAUUCAUGGGGAAAUAGAAUAUAAUCCUGGAGAUGGGAGAUGUGGAGCAGGUAAGUUUGUGGCAGCACCAGAGUCCUCCAAAAAGUCUUCUGGCAAAGUAAAUGAGGAAGGAUCGCAGUCUGCCAUCGUGGAGUUUUGCUGAAAGGCCUGAACACGUUCCAUCCAUGCAUCCAUCUUCUUCCAUUCAUCAGGAACCAGGUUGUGAGGGCAGCAGUCUAAGCAAAGAUGCCCACACUUCCCUCUCCUCCAGCUCCUCUUGGGGGACCCCGGGGCCAGCUGAGAGACGUAGUCUCCCCAGCGUGUCCUGGGUCUCCCUUAGGGCCUCUGCCCUUAUUCCUGUUGGAGUUUUUUUCUAACCCCUUAUGUUUCAAAAGUUUGCAAACAUACAUUUUGGUUGAAAUGAUGAGGAUCCGAGGAUGAAAUCAAGAAGGGACAACAUCAGGGAAAGGGACUGAACCAUCUGAACAGCUUCCUCUCUUCAGCAGACACAUGUUCCGAGUACAUAUGUGUCAAAUAUUGACAUCCUCGCCGUUCAGGCCGGUGGCUGGAACAAGCGGAAGUCAGAAAAGCUGGAGCAGACGUUACCAGAAUGAUACCUCCAGGACCAAUCAAAAUGACCCAGAGAAAAACACUGAAGGGCUUUGUCUGAGCAUCAGGAAAACAAGAAUCAGCUGUCAUCAACAUAUGGUGGAUAAAGGUGGAAAGAUUUCAUGUAAUCCAUGGACACCAAUGAAGAUCACAAAUCAUUGAAGAAAAAAGGUUCAGAGCACUGUCUAGUGGGUCUAGAUGACCCAACUCCCAAUGGUUAUGGUGCCAUGGUAAUAUGAUGUCAUGCUGCUGACCAGACUGUGGUUGGUGAAGUCCAGCAGCACUGCGGGUCCUUGAAGUGUGGUUGAAGAGCUCUCCUCCCAGCUUUUGGAAGGCAGCACAGAGUCAUUGAUGGAGAGAGAACAUGAGGGACUAAUUGUCUGCUGAGGAGGAGACUUUCUGCAGUUCAAGCCCCAGCUCCACCCCUAAAAAAAGGCUUAUAUGAAGGAAAACCUCAUUUCAACUUUGUACCAAUAAAUGACUUUUAAUUGAAA